rnacentral:lncRNA from 1 species
CUUAUGUCUACUUACUCCGGCAACGAGAUGGCAACACAAGUUAACAUUUUCCAGAUGGGAUGUCUCUGUCUUUAAACUAGAAGAUGGGUAUUCAGAGGUUAAGAUAGCCUCUGAAGUGUCUUAUUGCCAUACCACUAAUUUUUAAAAAUUAAAUUUUUUUUUUUUUUUUGGAGGGGGAGGCUGGAUUUUCUUUUCACUUAACUGCAGGUUAUAUCCCUGCUCGGCACCAAUUUUAAGUGUACGCUGGAGAGAAGAGACCUGAAUAAAGGAUGCCAACUGUGAUUCCAGACCUUUACAAACUGCUGGUGACUGAUUCAAACCUGAGGCUACAAAUCCCUAAUCAUGAGACCUUAAAAUACCAAAAUACUUCUAUGCUACAGAUUAAGAGAUCAGUUACAUAACUAUAUCAGAGCAGGAGAUUUCUGUGUUGUUUUUAAUAAAUUCAGAUAUGGCAUAAUAAAUAUUAGGUAUAUAAACAUUAAGUGUGUUAGUAAACACACAAUAUGUUUAGUAAACACACUUAAUAUGUUUGUUUUGCUAUUUUGGCUCUGCAAUCAUAAUGACCUACCUAUCUCCAUAAAUUUUUUAAACUAUUGAAGCAACAAUUAAUAUAAGCUUCAUUUUUCAAAACAAGCUUUCCAGCCAUAUUUAAAAAAAA